rnacentral:rRNA from 1 species
GAUGAACGAGGCGGCGUGCCUAACACAUGCAAGUCGAACGAGAUGCGUAUCGGAAAGCUUCGGCCGGAAGAUACGUCAUCUAGUGGCGGACGGGUGAGUAACACGUGGGUAACCUGCCUUAUGGAGGGGGAUAACAGAGAGAAAUCACUGCUAAUACCGCAUAAGCACACAUUGCCGCAUGGCAGAGUGUGAAAAGAUUUAUCGCCAUAAGAUGGACCCGCGUCUGAUUAGCCAGUUGGCAGGGUAAAAGCCUACCAAAGCAACGAUCAGUAGCCGGUCUGAGAGGAUGACCGGCCACAUUGGGACUGAGACACGGCCCAAACUCCUACGGGAGGCAGCAGUGGGGAAUAUUGCACAAUGGGGGAAACCCUGAUGCAGCGACGCCGCGUGAGUGAAGAAGUAUUUCGGUAUGUAAAGCUCUAUCAGCAGGGAAGAUAAUGACAGUACCUGACUAAGAAGCCCCGGCUAACUACGUGCCAGCAGCCGCGGUAAUACGUAGGGGGCAAGCGUUAUCCGGAUUUACUGGGUGUAAAGGGAGCGUAGACGGAGUGGCAAGUCUGAAGUGAAAACCCUGGGCUUAACCUGGGGACUGCUUUGGAAACUGUUAAUCUAGAGUGUUGGAGAGGUAAGUGGAAUUCCUGGUGUAGCGGUGAAAUGCGUAGAUAUCAGGAAGAACACCGGAGGCGAAGGCGGCUUACUGGACAAUAACUGACGUUGAGGCUCGAAAGCGUGGGGAUCAAACAGG